GAUGAACGCUGGCGGCGUGCCUAAUACAUGCAAGUCGAGCGAACGGACGGGAAGCUUGCUUCUCUGAUGUUAGCGGCGGACGGGUGAGUAACACGUGGAUAACCUACCUAUAAGACUGGGAUAACUUCGGGAAACCGGAGCUAAUACCGGAUAAUAUUUUGAACCGCAUGGUUCAAAAGUGAAAGACGGUCUUGCUGUCACUUAUAGAUGGAUCCGCGCUGCAUUAGCUAGUUGGUAAGGUAACGGCUUACCAAGGCGACGAUGCAUAGCCGACCUGAGAGGGUGAUCGGCCACACUGGAACUGAGACACGGUCCAGACUCCUACGGGAGGCAGCAGUAGGGAAUCUUCCGCAAUGGGCGAAAGCCUGACGGAGCAACGCCGCGUGAGUGAUGAAGGUCUUCGGAUCGUAAAACUCUGUUAUUAGGGAAGAACAUAUGUGUAAGUAACUGUGCACAUCUUGACGGUACCUAAUCAGAAAGCCACGGCUAACUACGUG
rnacentral:rRNA from 1 species